ensembl:snRNA U6 U6 spliceosomal RNA
GUGCUCACUUCGGCAGCACAUAUACUAAAAUUGGAAAGAUACAGAGAUUAGCAUGGCCCCUGUGCAAGGAUGACAUGCAAAUUUGUGAAGCAUUCCAUAUUUUU